rnacentral:rRNA from 1 species
UACGUAGGGUGCAAGCGUUGUCCGGAAUUAUUGGGCGUAAAGAGCUCGUAGGCGGUCUGUCACGUCGGAUGUGAAAACUCGGGGCUCAACCCCGAGCCUGCGUACGAUACGGGCAGACUUGAGUUCGGCAGGGGAGACUGGAAUUCCUGGUGUAGCGGUGAAAUGCGCAGAUAUCAGGAGGAACACCGGUGGCGAAGGCGGGUCUCUGGGCCGAUACUGACGCUGAGGAGCGAAAGCGUGGGGAGCGAACAGG